GCGCAACAGACAGAAGGAUUCACCCUAGAGCUUUGAUGGGCACCUCUGAAUUUCUGCCUGUUUAAAGCAUGAUGAAGCCAGCCAUUAAAGAAUGUUUAGGAGGAAGUAACCCUACCUUCAUGUACUCCGUGUUCGUUAAUAAUAUGGAAUAAUGUGCCACUUCUUUUCAAGAUACGAAGAAUUAUUUUCAGAAAGCAGAUGAAAAGUCCUCUCAGUACUACAAGAAGAAUAUCAUGUUGAGGACUCGGAGAUCCCCGAUUAAAUACUUCUCUGGAGGCUACAACACUACAUGACAGAGAGGAAUAACUUACCUUGAAACAGGCAACCAUGCUGUGUAUCCAAUUCCUGGCAACCAAAAGCAUAUUUCAGUCCAGAAAAAGCAGUCUUGGCAAUACCUUAUCAAGAAAGUAAGAAGCAAACUGAGCUGUUUCUCAUCUCGUCCUGCAAGAGCAUUUUUCAGCGUUCCUCUGCGACUUAAUUCAUGCAUGACAGCAACA